rnacentral:rRNA from 2 species
AGAGUUUGAUCCCUGGUUCAGAGCGAACGCUGGCGGCAGGCCUAACACAUGCAGUCGAGCGGGCGUAGCAAUACGUCAGCGGCAGACGGGAGAGUAACACGUGGGAACGCGCCCUUCGGUUCGGAAUAACUCAGGGAAACUUGAGCUAAUACCGAAUACGCCCUAACGGGGAAAGAUUUAUCGCCGAAGGAACGGCCCGCGUCCGAUUAGCUAGUUGGUGAGGUAAUGUCUCACCAAGGCAACGAUCGGUAGCUGGUCUAAGAGGAUGAUCAGCCUCACUGGGACUGAGACACGGCCCAGACUCCUACGGGAGGCAGCAGUGGGGAAUAUUGGACAAUGGGCGCAAGCCUGAUCCAGCCAUGCCGCGUGGAUGAUGAAGGCCCUAGGGUUGUAAAGUCCUUUUAACGGGGAAGAUAAUGACGGUACCCGUAGAAUAAGCCCCGGCUAACUUCGUGCCAGCAGCCGCGGUAAUAC